rnacentral:ncRNA from 2 species
GGUUGAUCCUGCCAGUAGUCAUAU